GGUUUCGUGGUGUAGUGGUUAUCACGUCUGCUUCACACGCAGAAGGUCGCGAGUUCGAACCUCGCCGGAACCU
rnacentral:tRNA from 1 species